CAGUCGCCGCGGGAAUACGUAGGUGGCAAGCGUUGUCCGGAAUUACUGGGCGUAAAGGGCGCGUAGGCGGUUGACACAGUCAGAUGUGAAAUCCCCGAGCUUAACUUGGGAACUGCAUUUGAAACUGGCAAGCUAGAGUCUUGUAGAGGGGGGUAGAAUUCCAGGUGUAGCGGUGAAAUACGUAGAGAUCUGGAGGAAUACCGGUGGCGAAGGCGGCCCCCUGGACAAAGACUGACGCUCAGGUGCGAAAGCGUGGGGAGCAAACAGGAUUAGAUACCCGUGUAGUCCCUGUCUCUUAUAA
rnacentral:rRNA from 1 species